GUUAAUCAUUGUCACAUUAACCAAUUAAUUUCUAUUUGGGUUGAUACCCAAUUGUGUCAAUAAAACGGAACUGUAAACAACUGACAUACAAGAGGGAGGUUUAGCAAGCUUUAAAACCAGGUUUUAUCCACAAUUUUCUUCAGAAAACGUCUAUACCAAGGAAUAUGACAGUUGUUUUCGAUUCGUUUGGUUGGUUAAUAAACUGAAACGUUUGAUUUUGUCAGUUUUUAUGGACUUUCCUCUUUUAAAAAAUUUACAUUUGAGUACGCCAUUUUUUAUUUACAUGUUAAACUCAUUAAAGCAGUUUAAAGCACACACAAAACAUAACAAAAAUAUAAAGGAUUCGAGUAUCGAACUAAAAGUAUUGAAGGCUAUACUCACAAUUCCGACUAAUAAAUGAGCCAUGAUCUUCAAAACUGAAAUAUCAACUAAUACACAUGUACGGAUUUAGAGUAAAACUUGUUGAACAGAUCAUCGAGACUUAAGAAUUGACAGGAUGUUGAUCUGUUAGUUUUUAGGAAGGAACAGUAAUGCAUGCUUAGUUAUAUAGGACAUGUUGAAAAUCAAAUAAAGUUUUUGAAUUAAGUUGAAGUCAACUUUUUCCUAAUCCAAUUAUAACUACUACACAUCUUCAUACCAAAGAUUUUGGCAUGACAGGUACUUGUAAAUAUCUAGAUACUACAGUGACAUGACAUUGACUUGAUUAUAUCUAGAUUCUACAGUGGCAUAACUUUGAUUUUAUAAUAUCUAGUUACUACAGUGUCAUGACAUGGACUUUAUAAUAUCUAGAUACUACAAUGGGAUAACAUGGACUUGAUAAUAUCUAGAUACUACAGUGGCAUAACAUAGACUAUAUAAUAUCUAGAUACUACAGUGGCAUGACAUGGACUUGCUAAUAUCUGGAUACUGCAGUGGCAUGACAUGGACUUGAUAAUAUCUAGAUACCACAGUUCAAAAGUGUAUAUACAUCUGAACACCAUAUCAAUUCUUUAAUAUCAUUUUUGUAAUCUUUAGCAUAUAACGACCUUCAGAAUAAUUCACUUAUUGUUUUUGAAUCGGCGGUAUGUAGAACAUAUCAAAGAUCAUGUCACUGCUUUGUCUAGGGUUAGCCUUUUUGAAUUCAUUAUUCCUCUUUAACAUUUUUUUGGAAUUUAUUGAAACAUUCCUGGACCAUUAACCAUAUAAAAUUGCAACUCUCGGUUUUUUAUUGUAAUUCUAUGUAGGUCUCUUUUAGCAAACCAUGGCCGUUUCCAAAGCUUCAAGUCAGUUAGGUACAUCGUGCAUGAAUAUAUCACAAUGAAUCGAAACGGUGUUGACAUAAAUGUAUGGAACGAAAGUGUUUCGGGCAACAAGGUUGUUCGAAGUGCGGGAAUAUUUUAACUGACCAAUCACAUUCAGGCAUUUGUAGCUUAGCUCAUCAUAUAAGAAUUCUGUAUAGUAAAAUACACAUUCCGCAUUAUAUCAUUUUCAUGAUAUCUGGGAAAGUAAAUGAACUUAUUUUUGUAAUCAUAAUCCAUAGAAAACAUUUCAGCAUUCUGUCGAACAAGUAGAGUUGAAUUGCUGGUUUUAAGAUCAAGCUCCAUAAUGGAACAAAUCAUUUAGUAUAUCAAUUACCAAUAACAUUAACGAUACUAAUUUUUCUUCGCCAGAUGCGCAUUUCACAUAUGUAACAAAUGUUAUGUUCUUUUACUAUCAACGUUUUUUCGGUCAUAGAUCACUGAGCCGUCAAUCUGAUUCUAAGACAGAUGACAACGACACG
rnacentral:lncRNA from 1 species